rnacentral:rRNA from 1 species
GUUGUUCCAAAAACACCCGAAGGCGGGCGAGCUUUCCCUGGGCAGGUUGAAGAACGGAUAAGAUCCGCGUUGGAGGACCGAACUCGUGGCCGUGGUAAAGGCCUGGGAUGACCUGGGGAAAGGAGUGAAAGGCUAAACAAGCCCGCGCAUAGCUGGUUUUUGGCGAAAAGCAUAAAGGUGCUUUCCACGGUCAAUUUCAAAGAAGUUAGGGCUCGUCCUGGGAGCGGGGAGGUCUAAGCUCCUACUCUUCUGCGGCAACCGUUAAUGUUUUUGAAAAAACCGUGGAUUUAGGCUCUGGAUGCUAAGGUCCAGAGCCGAGAGGGAAACAACCCAGAAAACCAAUUAAGGUCCCAAAGCAUAAACUCAGUGGUAUAGGAAGUUUUUUUGCGGAGACCCUCAGAAGAUAGGCUUGGAAGCAGCCAUUCUGGAAUGAAAGCGUAAUGGCUCACUGAGAGAGCGAAAAAAUACCAAAAAUGUACGGGGCUUGAGUUUAUCACCGA